CUGUAUCAAGCGCAUUACUGAAACUGCUCGGACACAUUUAAGACACAAGUAAAGAUGAAGCCAAUAUCAUAAAUCAAUAAUUAAGACUUAUGCACAACACCAUCAAAAGUUCAAAUGAUUACAAAAUUACUGAAAAAAAUCAUAUUAAUGUUCCAUGAGGGCAGAACUUUGGCGAAACUACCUAAAAGAGCCACUUGGCUCUGUAGAUCCCAUAUCAGGCAACCAACAAUUAGAAAUAAAAUCGAAUAUGACCAAGGUAAUUUUCAAAUCAAAUUCGCAUUUUAUGUCGAAGUACCUUUUGAAAUACCAUUUGGCCUCUUUAAAUUAAAUAGCACUUACUAUUAAUUAACAGUUAGGCCGUGAACACAUCAUAUGCAUAACUCAAAAUGCAUAAUUCAUAGCUAGAACACUUGAUGAGCUCAUAUCUGUUACGCAAUGUGUGUCCCCUUUACUCACCAUAACUACAGUAGGCGUGAAGGCCUGUAUAACAAUAAUAUCCGACUGUAUUUCCUGAUAAUAAAUAACCACCUUGGAGAGCCAUAAAGCGGAGAAAAACGAGCAGAACCGAGCAACACCGAAACAUAGAAACUGACGACUGCGGCUGCGUCGCUUUCAUUUUGUCCACACAACAGCAAAGAUUAUUGAGCGACUCUUCUACUUUGUUUUUUAAAAUCGAUUUGUAUAAGAACACAUGUUCGAGACACAAAGGAUUUUAGAGCCACAUCACCAAACAUCCCGGAAACAGAAACGCAGCGCUGUGAUUGGACCGCGCAAGAGAGCGUGUGAAAACUACUGGUGACACAGUGAGCCGCAAAACUGUUCUGCAAGGGACCGUCCACAAAAAUAAAGCGUAGAAUCAAAGUAAAUUGAGUAUGAUUGUUUGCGAGAGAUAAUAGGAGCCAGAUACAACAUCAUGGUUCAAAACAGAAUGGGACGACAUGAUUUAAAGCUUAACAUGAUUAUUAAUUAUGGAAAACAGUUGGGACGCAGUCUUGUUCUUCUGGCACACUACACCACAGUGUUUGUAAGCUUUGUAUCUCGCUCUGUAAACUGUUUUUUGGAAGUGAUCAAGUGGAUGUUAGUGUUUGCCAGAUACACGGUGGCGGUAUUCGAUUCGAUGUAUAGGAGCCUACACUGGUGGACCAGAAGCCACAGAAGGACAUCCAUAGAGAUGCUCUCCAGCAGCGAAACAGAGUCAGACUGAUGGACAUAAAGUGCUUAUGAACUCCUGGAAAAAAUUCCAAGGAGAACAAUAUCAAUGCAUCGAUACAUGUAGAAGUUUGUAAUGUUUCUGUACUACGUUUUUUGUUUUUUUUUUGUUUGAGGUUUUGUUAAUUUCAAAGGGCUCAUCGAAGUCUAAAGGUCUAGGAAGAGUCCACCACUGUUAUAACCACACCUGACAGACUGAAGACUGAACACAACACCUGUUUUUCAGGUCUAAACCAGUUUUCUACCAGAAGAAAACAAUCAAGAAAAGUUGGUUAAGUUCAUAGAAUCUCGUUUUGCCUAACAGUUAAUCCUAAACAGCAUUGUUUUUACCCUAGUCUCAGCCUCAGAUGUCAUACCCACGGACCGUUGGCUAAACAUCUGAUGAAUAUGGGACACAAAAGUGUAAACACUUCAGGAGUGUCGAAGUCGUCAUCAGAUUGGUUAAAUUCUACAGGAUUUCCGCGAGAUGUGUGUCACGUUCUUUAACAUUCCACCUGGAAACAAAGAUACCGUGGCACCUCAUGAAAGAAGAAAGCCGUAUUGUUUACCACUGUGACGAUGAGCGCUUAUCAAGAUCAACUAAACACUUUAGUUUCAGAAGUGUGUGAAAUUGUUCAAGUUUGCGGCAUAUAAUCUUUAACAUAUGUCAGAGAGUUUUACACACUGGUCUGUUAUUGUGGCAACAUUUCCACACCCUGAAACGUGACACUGAAAUGAAACGAACUGUGAUUGGUUGUUUGACGUGUCGGUCAAACGGCCUCAUGGGUGGGCCUUGGCCAAUGAAAGCUGCCAUGGAUUUCAGACUUUUAGCCAUCAUCAGUCUAAAGGUCUGGCUACGCGAGACUAUUUUUACCCUAGCAAAUUCUGCUUUUUUUAUCCACUGAAUGUAGAUUAAUAGUCAGGGAGAAGAGCAAAAUUAUUACCAUUAGCACAUAUGCAUUUUUUACCAACUUUAUUUAAUGUCUGUGGUUGGAGCAAAUAUACAGUAUGUUGGGUAAAAGAAUAACCUUAAAUAAUCAUAGUAAAAUAUAUUUUGAAACAAGUGGGAAUUUGUAUCAUCAAUAGCAGACGAAACUCUUUGUGUGGGGUACAUUUCAAGGUUUCUCAGAAGUGAGCAGUGCUACUUCAGCACCACUGAUGUACCAUUAGAGUUUUAUUUGUAUUUAUUAAUAUAUUUUUAUAUUUUCUUUUGUUAUUUGGCUUUUUUUUUCAUUUCAGGCAAUGUUUAUUCAUUUAGCGUAAUAUUUGUUUAUUUUUAUGGUUUUAGUUAAUAAUAAUAACCCUGAGUUUGGUAAACUUCUAUAGUGGUGAAUGGGAGACAACAGCAAAUAUGAUUUUUGCAUUCCCAUUUGCUUCAAUAGCAAAAGAAAGAAAUUACAGUAGGGUUUCCUAUUGGCAGAUUUUGAUUGUGUGCCAGUAUCCUAUUUUAGGAAUGCGAGCUUUGAAUAUUGUCUAUAUUAUUACUUAUCCAAAACAUCAUAUUGACUAUUUCUCUGUAACGGAAAACAGUGUGUUCUGAGAACAAAGUACUGUCAUGCUCAACAAAAUGCAUUUUUCUUGUGGAAAUGUAUCUGGACACAUUUCAUUCCUGUUAUACUGUCUAUGAUAUGCAAGCUUUUGAUCUGUAAAACUAUCAUUACCAUUAUUGUUGAAUAAUUUAUGAAUUGUUAAAAUUUAUGAAUAUAAUAUGGAUGUGAUAUGUAAUUUGACAAUUAAAUGGAAACAAACUUUUUUUUUUCAUGUGAAGAAUGUGGAGGCUCCAAUUAUUUUUGGCAUUAUACAACAAAUUCUAAGAUACAUUAUAUAUAACUUUGCCACUA